GGUGUUUAUCAAAUUUCAAAUGAAGCGGUUUUGCUAUUGCUUCGACAAUUACCUGUUGUCAUGAACAAUGCGAUAUUGCGCAGCAGUUCAGCAGUCACUGAACUCAUCUUACACCGCUUUACAAAAUCAUCAUCGUCUACAGCAACGCUCAAUCGUGCUUUUACAACCACGGUUACCGAGUUCGGUUACUAUGGACUUGAUGAAAUAUCUGAGGGCGAACGGGAAUAUACACCGGAAAAAAUUUGAAUCGAUAUUCAAACGAUAUGACCAUUCAUUCUCUGAUUGUGAAGUUGUCGAUUUAAAUGAGUUGUUUAAAGAGAGCGAUGAAACACAUAAACCAUCGUGCCGCACAACGAAAAACGAGAGAAAGUGCCGCAAACCUAGAAAGUUAGCGGUAAUCUCUAACAAAAAAUACCCGAGAUAUCAAACAAGGAGUGUAACCAAGAGAAAAUGUUCAAAGUCUACAAAAGGCACCACUAACCGCCUUGCGAGAAAAUCAAAAACAGCGAGAAAAUCAAAAACAGCGCGAAAAUCGAAUGUAAAAGAUUUUCUCCGGAGUCCUUUACCUAAUGGUAAUAUGAUGGGAUCGAUCGUGUCGCGAAACAAAAGUAUGUUCUGUGAACCACCAACCUUUAUGGAUCUAGAUGUUUCGAAUUCAGAUGACAGCGAUAAUAUUUCUGAUGUUGAUACAAACGAUGAAGAUUCUGACAAGAGUCAGUUCUGUACUCCCCCGAGUGUCAUUGAAGUAAGUGGUUUCUGUACUCCACCGACGGUAAUUAACGAAAAGCUGAACGGAAACUUUAACCAGAACAAGGAAAAACAAUCAAAUCUAUGGCAAGAACGCUUCAGCAGACAUUAUGUUCCAGUCAAUAAGUCUAUGCUAACUAAAAAUCAAAGAACCGCAAAAGCUCUUUUAAGAUGGCAGGAGCAUUUUGCUCACAUGUUUCCAAGUGUCUGACGCUCAAGGUGUGAUUAUUGAACCUGGUCUUGAAAUUACCCUCUGGAAGGCCCACAUAUUUCUUCGUCGAAACUGUGUCCUUAGUGGAUAUAGAGUCCACGGUGGCUUCAUACAUGAUGGUCUCGGACAUGUGGAUGUGUGCAGGUCUCCUCCUCUAUAAUGAGACACAGAAUGCAGCAGACUUAUUUUCCAAAAUCUAAUUUAUCAUCAGUAAUUUAUGAGGAAAGAAGCACCAGUUGACUUAGUUAAUGACCAAUGAAUUCUCCAUAAAUAUUGAUCCAAUGCCAAAAUGGAUGGAAACUUAUUUGUUCCUACUUUGAAAGACUUGAUUUUUCUAUCUUUUUAACCAUUCUGCCUCCAUUCUCUGUUUGGAAUAUGAGAAAAUCUAAUAACGUCAAACCAUUGCUAAUGGUCUUUGGUCUUCUUUUAAAUUAUUUUCUCUUGGCUGUCUUGGAAUAUAUUGUUCUUCAAAAUUUAUAUAUUGUAUGGUACUUUGAAAUGGCCAAAGCAAAAUUUUAGAAACAAUGUGAAGAUUUAUUUGUGUUGCUCACUUCUUUUUAUGUCUAACAUUGUGGCUUUUAUAUGGUUGUCUGAAAUAUCAAGUAUUGAAGCAUCUGAGAAUGAUUCGGUCCACUUUUACUGGUGCUAAACAUUCCUGCUGCACAUAUGGAAGAAAUGUGACUGUUACCGUUAAUUGACUAACUUGGAGAAAUUUCAUUCAACUCCUGUUGUAACUAAUUUAAAAAACAGAGAAAUAUAUAGUCUGAUCAAUAAGUAUGCGGACUGUUGCUAUAGUAACAAAGCUA
rnacentral:misc_RNA from 1 species